ACACGUGGGCAACCUGCCCUGUAGACUGGGAUAACUUCGGGAAACCGAAGCUAAUACCGGAUAAUCUUUGGAGCCGCAUGGUUCUAAAGUAAAAGUUGGGUUUACCUAACACUACAGGAUGGGCCCGCGUCGCAUUAGCUAGUUGGUAAGGUAACGGCUUACCAAGGCGACGAUGCGUAGCCGACCUGAGAGGGUGAUCGGCCACACUGGGACUGAGACACGGCCCAGACUCCUACGGGAGGCAGCAGUAGGGAAUCUUCCGCAAUGGACGAAAGUCUGACGGAGCAACGCCGCGUGAGCGAUGAAGGCCUUCGGGUCGUAAAGCUCUGUUGUUAGGGAAGAACAAGUGCCAUUCAAAUAGGGUGGCACCUUGACGGUACCUAACGAGAAAGCCACGGCUAACUACGUGCCAGCAGCCGCGGUAAUACGUAGGUGGCAAGCGUUGUCCGGAAUUAUUGGGCGUAAAGCGCGCGCAGGCGGUAUCUUAAGUCUGAUGUGAAAGCCCACGGCUCAACCGUGGAGGGUCAUUGGAAACUGGGAUACUUGAGUACAGAAGAGGAGAGUGGAAUUCCAUGUGUAGCGGUGAAAUGCGUAGA
rnacentral:rRNA from 1 species